CCUACGGGAGGCAGCAGUGAGGAAUAUUGGUCAAUGUGCGGGAGCCUGAACCAGCCAAGUCGCGUGAGGGAAGACGGUCCUAUGGAUUGUAAACCUCUUUAGGCGGGGAGCAAUGCCGGGCACGCGUGCCCGGAGGGAGAGUACCCGCAGAAUAAGCAUCGGCUAACUCCGUGCCCGCAGCCGCGGUAAUACGGAGGAUGCGAGCGUUAUCCGGAUUUAUUGUGUUUAAAGGGUGCGCAGGCGGGAGCGGCAAGUCAGCGGUAAAAUUGCGGGGCUCAACCUCGCCGAGCCGUUGAAACUGCUCGUCUAGAGUGGGCGAGAAGUAUGCGGAAUGCGUGGUGUAGCGGUGAAAUGCAUAGAUAUCACGCAGAACUCCGAUUGCGAAGGCAGCAUACCGGCGCCCAACUGACGCUCAUGCACGAAAGCGUGGGUAUCGAACAGGAUUAGAUACCCUUGUAGUC
rnacentral:rRNA from 1 species